ACUUACUUUGACACAAUGUCAUAAUUUAUCUAUGGGUGUCAUGCCUAUAAUUUGGUUUUGAAACGUAUUAUUUACAUGCCAUAAUGGUAGAAAAAAAUAUUUUUAGUGGCUGGCAACUCUAACUUUGACAUUAGUGAGCCAAAAUGGCGACUAGAAGAUUUGCUCUGCGGACUGCUCAGCAACGACUAAUUCGGAAAUAAACACUACAGAAUUCAAGAUCAAGACGAAUUUUAGCGCUGAUUCCCGAAGAAAACGCUCCUUCUGAUGUUAGUGGGGAAUCAAACUCCGAUAAUGAAGACGAAUUGGCUAAUGUUCAAUUUGGGGACCCAGAGUCUUCAGAACCACCUUCACUUGACUCUUCCUUGGAACAGCUUAAUAUUCUGAAUUCUGAUUCUGAUGCUGAUCAACACCGAAGCUGUACCCCGUCUCCUUCAAUUCUGGCUAAUAAUGGUAAUGUAGACGACAUCAAUCGACAUCAAUCAAUAAGUUCAUGCCCUCCUUUGACACCGAUGUCAAACAUACCUUCAAUAACAACUUCAUAUAUACUCGACCAUAUGUCAGACUCCCCCCUGCAAUCUCCACUUGUCGCUUCAUUGUGGCGUGGAUUUAGCGGACAUGCUAAUUGCCCUGUACCGAACAGAAAUAAAGAGCAGGCGCUGGUACUUGUCCAUAUUUUCCCAGUUACUCGAUAUCUGUGUAAAUAAUG